CGCGACCCCAGGUCAGGCGGGGCUACCCGCUGAGUUUAAGCAUAUCAAUAAGCGGAGGAAAAGAAACUAACGAGGAUUCCCCUAGUAACGGCGAGCGAACCGGGGAAAUUCUAAGACGGGAGCU
rnacentral:rRNA from 1 species